AUUGAACGCUGGCGGCAUGCCUUACACAUGCAAGUCGAACGGCAGCACGGGAGCAAUCCUGGUGGCGAGUGGCGAACGGGUGAGUAAUACAUCGGAACGUGCCCAGUAGUGGGGGAUAACCCGGCGAAAGCCGGACUAAUACCGCAUACGACCUACGGGUGAAAGCGGGGGAUCGCAAGACCUCGCGCUAUCGGAGCGGCCGAUGUCAGAUUAGCUAGUUGGUGGGGUAAAGGCCUACCAAGGCGACGAUCUGUAGCUGGUCUGAGAGGACGACCAGCCACACUGGGACUGAGACACGGCCCAGACUCCUACGGGAGGCAGCAGUGGGGAAUUUUGGACAAUGGGCGCAAGCCUGAUCCAGCCAUGCCGCGUGCGGGAAGAAGGCCUUCGGGUUGUAAACCGCUUUUGUCAGGGAGGAAACGCUCCGGGCUAAUACCACGGAGUAAUGACGGUACCUGAAGAAUAAGCACCGGCUAACUACGUG
rnacentral:rRNA from 1 species